AUUGAACGCUGGCGGCAGGCCUAACACAUGCAAGUCGAGCGGAUGAAGGGAGCUUGCUCCUGGAUUCAGCGGCGGACGGGUGAGUAAUGCCUAGGAAUCUGCCUGGUAGUGGGGGAUAACGUCCGGAAACGGGCGCUAAUACCGCAUACGUCCUGAGGGAGAAAGUGGGGGAUCUUCGGACCUCACGCUAUCAGAUGAGCCUAGGUCGGAUUAGCUAGUUGGUGGGGUAAAGGCCUACCAAGGCGACGAUCCGUAACUGGUCUGAGAGGAUGAUCAGUCACACUGGAACUGAGACACGGUCCAGACUCCUACGGGAGGCAGCGGUGGGGAAUAUUGGACAAUGGGCGAAAGCCUGAUACAGCCAUGCCGCGUGUGUGAAGAAGGUCUUCGGAUUGUAAAGCACUUUAAGUUGGGAGGAAGGGCAGUAAGUUAAUACCUUGCUGUUUUGACGUUACCAACAGAAUAAGCACCGGCUAACUUCGUG
rnacentral:rRNA from 1 species